rnacentral:tRNA from 1 species
GUCCUCGUAGCUUAUACAAAGCAUGACACUGAAGAUGUCAAGAUGGCUGCUACACGCACCCAAGGACA